rnacentral:rRNA from 1 species
UACGUAGGGGGCUAGCGUUGUCCGGAAUCAUUGGGCGUAAAGCGCGUGUAGGCGGUCCGGUAAGUCCGCUGUGAAAGUCGGGGGCUCAACCCUCGAAUGCCGGUGGAUACUGUCGGGCUAGAGUGCGGAAGAGGCGAGUGGAAUCCCUGGUGUAGCGGUGAAAUGCGCAGAUAUCAGGAGGAACACCAAUUGCGAAGGCAGCUCGCUGGGACGUUACUGACGCUGAGACGCGAAAGCGUGGGGAGCAAACAGG